GAUGAACGCUGGCGGCGUGCCUAAUACAUGCAAGUCGAGCGAACGGACGAGAAGCUUGCUUCUCUGAUGUUAGCGGCGGACGGGUGAGUAACACGUGGAUAACCUACCUAUAAGACUGGGAUAACUUCGGGAAACCGUAGCUAAUACCGGAUAAUAUUUUGAACCGCAUGGUUCAAAAGUGAAAGACGGUCUUGCUGUCACUUAUAGAUGGAUCCGCGCUGCAUUAGCUAGUUGGUAAGGUAACGGCUUACCAAGGCAACGAUGCAUAGCCGACCUGAGAGGGUGAUCGGCCACACUGGAACUGAGACACGGUCCAGACUCCUACGGGAGGCAGCAGUAGGGAAUCUUCCGCAAUGGGCGAAAGCCUGACGGAGCAACGCCGCGUGAGUGAUGAAGGUCUUCGGAUCGUAAAACUCUGUUAUUAGGGAAGAACAUAUGUGUAAGUAACUGUGCACAUCUUGACGGUACCUAAUCAGAAAGCCACGGCUAACUACGUGCCAGCAGCCGCGGUAAUACGUAGGUGGCAAGCGUUAUCCGGAAUUAUUGGGCGUAAAGCGCGCGUAGGCGGUUUUUUAAGUCUGAUGUGAAAGCCCACGGCUCAACCGUGGAGGGUCAUUGGAAACUGGAAAACUUGAGUGCAGAAGAGGAAAGUGGAAUUCCAUGUGUAGCGGUGAAAUGCGCAGAGAUACGGAGGAACACCAGUGGCGAAGGCGACUUUCUGGUCUGUAACUGACGCUGAUGUGCGAAAGCGUGGGGAUCAAACAGGAUUAGAUACCCUGGUAGUCCACGCCGUAAACGAUGAGUGCUAAGUGUUAGGGGGUUUCCGCCCCCUAGUGCUGCAGCUAACGCAUUAAGCACUCCGCCUGAGGAGUACGACCGCAAGGUUGAAACUCAAAGGAAUUGACGGGGACCCGCACAAGCGGUGGAGCAUGUGGUUUAAUUCGAAGCAACGCGAAGAACCUUACCAAAUCUUGACAUCCUUUGACAACUCUAGAGAUAGAGCCUUCCCCUUCGGGGGACAAAGUGACAGGUGGUGCAUGGUUGUCGUCAGCUCGUGUCGUGAGAUGUUGGGUUAAGUCCCGCAACGAGCGCAACCCUUAAGCUUAGUUGCCAUCAUUAAGUUGGGCACUCUAAGUUGACUGCCGGUGACAAACCGGAGGAAGGUGGGGAUGGCGUCAAAUCAUCAUGCCCCUUAUGAUUUGGGCUACACACGUGCUACAAUGGACAAUACAAAGGGCAGCGAAACCGCGAGGUCAAGCAAAUCCCAUAAAGUUGUUCUCAGUUCGGAUUGUAGUCUGCAACUCGACUACAUGAAGCUGGAAUCGCUAGUAAUCGUAGAUCAGCAUGCUACGGUGAAUACGUUCCCGGGUCU
rnacentral:rRNA from 1 species